AAAACUUACCAGGUCCAGACAUAGUAAGGACUGACAGAUUGAUAGCUCUUUCUUGAUUCUAUGGGUGGUGGUGCAUGGCCGUUCUUAGUUGGUGGAGUGAUUUGUCUGCUUUAUUGCGUUAACGAACGAGACCUUAACCUGCUAAAUAGUGGUGCGUAUCUCCGGAUACUCAUCUCACUUCUUAGAGGGACUUCAGGUUUCAAGCCUGAGGAAGUUUGAGGCAAUAA
rnacentral:rRNA from 1 species